rfam:Pan troglodytes isolate Yerkes chimp pedigree #C0471 (Clint) chromosome 15, whole genome shotgun sequence.
AUGAGUGGGAGUCCAGGGCACGGCAGGGGGAGCUGCAGGGCUGUGGGAGGGGCCCCAGCGUCUGAGCCCUGUCCUCCCGCAG